rnacentral:lncRNA from 1 species
CAUUGUUCUAUGACAUCCAAGAGCAAACCUGUGUGGAAGACGAAAAUAUGGAGUACAGUCCGUGGCAUGGAAUAUGCAGCAUAGCUCCAUCAAAUUCUGUAAUCUCCUUUCUCUGAGAGCAGAAAGAAUCCUGGAGGAGAAACUAUGUUUAUCUGUAGUUGCAAAGCGUCAGGUACACGGUAGGCAGAGCUAAAAGUGGACAGAUAGUAGGUAUGGAGGCGGUAUUAGGCAUGCAUAGAGUCCCCUACCCCUUGACUGGAUGUUCUUCAUUUCCAAGAAGAUUAUGCCACUCAGAAGAUUGCCU